rnacentral:tRNA from 1 species
GGGUGUAGCUCAGUGGUAGAGUGCGUGCUUACCAUGCAUAGAGUCCUAGGUUCAAUCCCCAGUACCUCCA